rnacentral:misc_RNA from 2 species
AACGCACAUUGCGCCCCUCGGUAUUCCGGGGGGCAUGCCUGUUCGAGCGUCAUUACACCCCUCAAGCGUAGCUUGGUAUUGGGUCCUCGCCCCCCGGGGCGUGCCCGAAAAGCAGUGGCGGCUCGGUGUGACUUUAAGCGUAGUAAAUUUUCAUCCCGCUUUGAAAGUUCGCCCCGUGGCUUGCCAGACAACCCCAUUUAUUUCAAUGAUUGACCUCGGAUCAGGUAGGGAUACCCGCUGAACUUAA